UGGAAUUGCUAGUAAUGGCAGGUCAGCAUACUGCCGUGAAUACGUUCCCGGGCCUUGUACACACCGCCCGUCACACCAUGAGAGUUGGAAAUACCCGAAGCCUGUGAGCUAACUUAAAGAGGCAGCAGUCGAAGGUAGAGCCAAUGAUUGGGGUGAAGUCGUAACAAGGUAUC
rnacentral:rRNA from 1 species